AUGUGCUUGAUUGCGGACGGGCCGACUGGAAGGAGGAUUGGAACUGGAAUAAGGCAUAGGGGGCUGUGGUACAUGGACCAUGAGGGGCUUGGUCAGAUGGGUAGCCCACUGUUUGCAGCAAUUGUGGAAGAAAGAGAGUCUGUGGCGAUGAAACAUCACUGCAGAAUGGGGCAUGUAUCCUUUGAUAAAAUGUUCAAGUUGUUUCUAGAUGUAAUGCAUGGAGUCAAUAAGAACAAGCUGAACUGUGAUGCGUGUGAUUUUUCAAAACACACGAGGACAUCUUAUGUGAGUAAGAGACUUAGAAGUAUAUCCCAAUUCAUGCUUGUUCACUCGAAUGUUUGGCAAGUUCGGUGGUGUCGGUUGGUGGUGCGAAGUAUUUUGUGA
rnacentral:rRNA from 1 species